AUUGAACGCUGGCGGCAUGCCUUACACAUGCAAGUCGAACGGCAGCACGGGAGCAAUCCUGGUGGCGAGUGGCGAACGGGUGAGUAAUAUAUCGGAACGUGCCCAGUCGUGGGGAUAACGUAGCGAAAGCUACGCUAAUACCGCAUACGAUCUAAGGAUGAAAGCGGGGGAUCGCAAGACCUCGCGCGAUUGGAGCGGCCGAUAUCAGAUUAGGUAGUUGGUGAGGUAAAGGCUCACCAAGCCAACGAUCUGUAGCUGGUCUGAGAGGACGACCAGCCACACUGGAACUGAGACACGGUCCAGACUCCUACGGGAGGCAGCAGUGGGGAAUUUUGGACAAUGGACGCAAGUCUGAUCCAGCCAUUCCGCGUGCAGGAUGAAGGCCCUCGGGUUGUAAACUGCUUUUGUACGGAACGAAACGGUGAGCUCUAAUACAGUUUGCUAAUGACGGUACCGUAAGAAUAAGCACCGGCUAACUACGUGCCAG
rnacentral:rRNA from 1 species